rnacentral:snoRNA from 1 species
AGCACCUGUGUGUGUGUUUGUUCAACUGGUGGAAAAGAGUAUGAAAGACAGGUGCAAAAAUAAAUCCUCUCUUGCAACUUAGAACUCAUUGUUCGGUAUGAGUUUUGACACAAACAAGAAGGAAUAUA